AAAGGAUAGCACGUUUGGGCUUCCAUUAUCUUUCCCAGCAGGUUCACGAACGUAUGCUGGCAAGAAAUGGCAGUCCACAUGUGUAAAUCCUCGA
rnacentral:pre_miRNA from 13 species